CAAAUGUGGGUGCUGAAUGAAUUGGUAAAUGUAAAAAAUGGAAUUGACAAUUAUCUUUAUCAUCAGACAUUGCUACCUUUCAGAAAAUAUGUCUUGAAGAUGACGACAAGUUGCCAGUUGAUUCAUAUGUCACACUUAGUGAUAUCCUAGCACACCAUACUUUAUUCGUUAUGCAAAAAAAACUUUCCCUUCUGGUUUUCCCUCACUUAAAAGGUUUGUUUAUUUAGGAGGACGGUUAUUCAUUUUGAGAACAAUGCUUUAUUUUCAAGUGUUGCCAAUCUCCUUAGUCACAGCCAUUGGAGUACAAUUGCUGUUGAAGAGACUUUCGAUGUUUAUCAUGGUGGAUCAAAGCUCAUCAAAAGCUCUUUUUGGGAUUUGAAUACCAAAGAGAACAUAGUGGAGUAUCGAGUAUUAAUUCAUCCAAAGAGCAUCCAACAUUGAAAUUGAAACUCCGUAUGCAGUCACUCGGAUUACCAGACACAUUGCAUUUUACUUACCUCGACGUCAAGGGCCACUCCAUCGUGGAAUUUGCCGCCAGCAAGAACCUUGUAGACAACCACAUCCAACCUUUCAAGUUGAGUUACACGUUUCCUAGAAUCGUCAUGCUUCAAGAGCCAUUGUUAUGCGUUUUUCCUUUUUCCUCAAAACUUUCAUCUACUUUCCAUCACCAAGGUUUGAUAGGAAAAAAAAUGGGAAACACCCUAGUCCAUCCUAUUUCAUUCUUCACCCCUUACCUUGCUCGCUACUUUGUCUUGUAAACAGAUUUAUCCGUGUGAUUGAUAUGCACGACAUGUUGUAUAAAUGGAUAGCUUUUGUCUGAUACAAACACAUUUGAGGCGAG